UACAUGGGGGGCAAGCGUUGUUCGGAAUUACUGGGCGUAAAGGGCUCGUAGGCGGCCAACUAAGUCGGACGUGAAAUCCCAAAGCUUAACUUUGGAACUGCGUCGGAUACUGGAUGGCUUGAAUUCGGGAGAGGGAUGCAGAAUUCCAGGUGUAGCGGUGAAAUGCGUAGAUAUCUGGAGGAAUACCGGUGGCGAAGGCGGCAUCCUGGACCGACAUUGACGCUGAGGAGCGAAAGCUAGGGGAGCAAACGGG
rnacentral:rRNA from 1 species